rnacentral:rRNA from 1 species
AAAUAAUACAAUUAAAUUAUUUUAGUUUUAAUUAAUUGAUAAUUUUAAAUUUAAAUUAUAAAUUUAAUAAGUGAAAUUUUAAAUUUUUUAAAGAUUUAUAUUUGUUAAUGAUUUAAGAAAUUUUAAGUAUAAACUAGGAUUAGAUACCCUAUUAUUUAAAAUGUAGUUUAAUAAACUAAAUUAGUAAAAGAUAUGUUCUCAAAAAUUAAAGAUUUUGGCGGUAUUUUAGUCUAUUCAGAGGAACCUGUUCUGUAAUUGAUAAUCCACGAUUUAAUUUACUUGUUGUUUUAGUUUACAUAUCGUCGUAGUUUGAAUAUUUUAUUAGAAUUUUAAUAUUCAAGAUUUAUAAUAAUAAAAAAAAUCAGAUCAAGGUGUAGUUUAUAAUCAAGAAGAAAUGGGUUACUAUAAUAAAAAUUUAGAAUAAUUAUUUUUAAAGUAAUUUGAAUAAGGAUUUGAAAGUAAUGUUAAUUAAUUAAUUAA